GGGGCAUUAACACGUGUCCUGAAACCCGGGGCUACUUGCACCCCCAGCCCCUACGCGCUGCAGGGUCACUGGAUCUGGGAUAACGAGACUUGUGGAUCGGGAGGGGAAAGCAGUAGAUGUCACAUAUCUCAACUUUAGUACGGCUUUUGAUACUGUCUUACAUGAACGUCUCAUAAGCAAACUAAGGAAAUACAGCCUAGGUGAACCUACUAUAAGGUGAACGCACAACUGGUUGGCAAACCAUACUCUGACUAGUUAAGGGCAUAUCAAGCGGGGUCCCACAGGGAUGAGUUCUGGGUCCAGUUCCGUUCAAUAUCUUCAUAAAUGAUUUGGACGAUGGCAUAGAGAGUACACUUAUAAAGUUUGCAGAUGAUACCAAGAUGGGAGGGGUUGCAAGCACUUGAGGACAAGAUUAGAAUUAAAAAUGAUCAUGACAAACUGUAGAAAUAAAUAAAUAAGAUGAAAUUCAAUAAGACAAAUGCAAAGUACUCCACUUAGGAAGGAACAAUCGGUUGCACCCAUACAAAAUGGGAAAUGACUGCCUAGGAAGGAGUACUGCGGAAAGGGAUCUGGGAGUCAUAGUGGAUCACAAGCUAAAUAUGAGUUGAAGAGUGUCACACUGUUGCAAAAAAAGCAAACAUUGUUCUGGGAUGUAUUAGCAGGAGGGUUGUUAGCAAGACACAAGAAGUAAUUCUUCCACUCUACUCUGCGCUGAUUAGGCUUCAACUGGAGUAUUGUGUCCUGUUCUGGGCGCCACAUUUCAGAAUGGAUGAGGAUAAAUUGGAGAGAGUCCAGAGGAGAGCAACAAAAAUGAUUAAAGGUCUAGAAAACAAUUGAAAAAACUGAGUUUUUCUGGAGAAGAGAAGACUGAAGGGAACCAUGACAACUGUCUUCAAAGGAAGAUCUAACACUGUCCAAUGGCUGGAAGUUGAAGCUCAACAAACUCAGAGUGGAAUAAAGGUGUGCAUUUUAAACAGUGAGUAACUAACAAUUUACCAAGGGGCCUAGCAGAUUUCCCAUCACUGACCAUUUUUAAAUCAAGAUGAGAUACUGUUCUAAGAGCUCUGCUCUAGGAAUUAUUUUGGGAAGUUCUCUGGCCUGUUAUACAAGCAAUGAUUACAAUGGUUCCUUCUGGCCUUAAGACCUAGGAGUCGAAGGGUCUAUCUACACUGCAGUUGAAAACGUGUGGUUGGCCCGUGCCAGCUGGCUCGGGCUGCGGGGCU